GUGGGGAAUCUUAGACAAUGGGCGCAAGCCUGAUCUAGCCAUGCCGCGUGAUCGAUGACGGCCUUAGGGUUGUAAAGAUCUUUCAGUGGGGAAGAUAAUGACUGUACCCACAGAAGAAGCCCCGGCUAACUCCGUGCCAGCAGCCGCGGUAAUACGGAGGGGGCUAGCGUUGUUCGGAAUUACUGGGCGUAAAGCGCACGUAGGCGGAUCAGAAAGUCAGAGGUGAAAUCCCAGGGCUCAACCUUGGAACUGCCUUUGAAACUCCUGAUCUUGAGGUCGAGAGAGGUGAGUGGAAUUCCGAGUGUAGAGGUGAAAUUCGUAGAUAUUCGGAGGAACACCAGUGGCGAAGGCGGCUCACUGGCUCGAUACUGACGCUGAGGUGCGAAAGCGUGGGGAGCAAACAGGAUUAGAAACCCCAGUAGUCC
rnacentral:rRNA from 1 species